GAUGAACGCUAGCGGCAGGCUUAAUACAUGCAAGGCGAACGGCAAGCUUGGUAGCAAUACUGAGCCUAGAGUGUCGUAAGGGUGCGUAACACGUAUGCAACCUACCCUGUACAGGAGGAUAGCUCGGGGAAACUCGAAUUAACCCUCCAUAAUAUCACGAGAUGGCAUCGUUUUGUGAUUAAAACUGAGGUGGUACAGGAUGGGCAUGCGUUUGAUUAGCUAGUUGGCGGGGUAACGGCCCACCAAGGCGAUGAUCAAUAGGGGAACUGAGAGGUUGA
rnacentral:rRNA from 1 species